rnacentral:misc_RNA from 1 species
GUUUUACAAUUUAGACCAUUCAAUACAUCUAAGAACAAGAGUAUAGCAAAAACAUAGACAAGAGAAGAACCACCGGAAUGGGUAGUUUACUCCCCUUGCCUACAAGAGUGCACAGGUGAAUGAGGAUGAGAUUUGUUCAGAGUGCACAUUUACUCAAAUAGAGCCAGCACAUCCUUUAAAUCACUAAUGAUCCUUCCGCAGGUUCACCUACGGAAA